rnacentral:rRNA from 1 species
GGAAUCUUCCACAAUGGACGCAAGUCUGAUGGAGCAACGCCGCGUGAGUGAAGAAGGGUUUCGGCUCGUAAAGCUCUGUUGUUAAAGAAGAACGUGGGUAAGAGUAACUGUUUACCCAGUGACGGUAUUUAACCAGAAAGGCCACGGCUAACUACGUGCCAG